GGUUAUGAGCUAUAUCUGGCCAGUCUUUUAAAAAGGAGUCCAAGUUAUCCCGCCAUCGCCGACGAGGUCUGCCGGAUCCCCGGUUUGACUCGUGGGGCACCCACUCUGUGGUUAACUUGGCCCACAAGUCGUUCGGCAUGCGGCAGACAUGACCAGCCCAAUCCCACUUUAGCUUGGCCGCUUUUCGAGCUACAUCUAUUAUCUGAGUUUUAGAGCGCAGCGUGGUGUUCCGGAUGCGAUCCCUUAGUUUCACACCUAAUAUGCUGCGCUCCAUAGCUCUCUGGCAAACCCCGAGUUUGGACUUCUGAGCUUCCCUCAAAGACCAAGUCUGAGCACCGUAAGUGAGGAUUGGAAGUAUGCACAUGUCCAUGAGCCUACGUUUGAGUGACAGAGGUAGGUCUCCUUUCAUGAGAUGUUUCAUGGACCAAUAGCUCUUCCAGGCGUUCUCGGUCCGUCUAUCGACCUCUUUUUCUUGUCGCGCCUGUAAAGAGACUAUUUGGCCCAAAUAAAGGUAUUCAUGGACAUAUGCAAUGUGUUCUCCGUUUACCUCAAUCUUACGUUUUGUGCUGUUGGACAUGACUUUGGUCUUUGACAUAUUCAUCUUCAGUCCAACCUCGAGGCUUGCGUUGCUAAGAUCUUCUAGCAUAAGAUGUAGCUCGGAUGCCGUUGAGGAAAAAAGGACUAUAUCAUCGGCGAAGUUAUUAAAUACUAAACACUAUAUUAUAAUAUGUAUGUAUAUGAUCCCUAAUCAGUGCAUCUUUGGUGAACUCUUUUAAAAACACUCCAACAUUUUAUAAAAUGACAAAACACAAGUGCAGGACACUGAUGUGCAUUUAUCCAUCAGUAUCAGCUAUAAGCUGCCUGUGCAUUCAAUAAUAAUAAGCCCGGAGACUGUGGCGAGCUGGUGGGGACUGGGGAGUAACGAACGACCCCACGGAUUUAAAAUGCAUAUAAGGUGCAUGACGUCACAAAAUUAGAUACAGAUUCUGCCCUGCUUAUCGCAUGUGCAGUACUUGCACGAAAAACAUCGUUUAAAUAAAGAACUUAUUCAAAGAGGACAAGAUAAACAAUUGCAUGUUUUUUCAACUGCGAUUACUACAUGUGUUGUUAGCACGGCAGGAUUUAUAUGGGCAGUUUUUGUCACUCAAUGACAUUGAGACCUCGUUAUAUUUGCAUGAUCUGAUUGGCAACCGUUGGGUACCGCUGGGUUUUGGCCAUUGAGAAUCAAGGUGAGGCUUCCCUAUCAGGCUAGAUGUAGCUAUGGUGUUCGGUCGGGUCUGGCAUCAAGAUCUGCUCGAGGGACUAUGCUUUUUGUCCGGUAGGCGCAUAUGAGCCGUAGUAGACGGAAGCUGCGUGUGGCUGUGGAUAUUACAGCUGGUGUUUCACUAGGUUUUGUGCUAUCCCCAAUGCUGCUAUUGGUGCAUACCAAUGAUAAUCAUUGCUAUUACCUAUUACGCAUAUGUAAGUGAAUAUGUUUACUUGGGACAAAUAAUCUCUUUUGAGAAUAUGAUGUCUAUAGUUCGUUUUUUUUAGCAUUAGAAAGAACUCCGCAGAAGUAAGCGUGCAGUUUUUAUCAGGCUCGUUAAUUGUUAAUAAUUAUUGAAUUAUCUAAUGUAGCAUGGUCAAUACAUAUAAUUUACUUCAAAUUGGUACUGCUAAAAAUGCCAGAUUUAGAACCACAAGCGAACUUCUGCGAAGUUCUUUCUAAUGCUAAAAAAAACGGACUUGAUGUCCAAGGAAAUAAAUAAAAGAAUAGCCAGCGGGUGGAAAAAGUACUGGUCACUUAAAGAAAUUAUGAAGAGCAAAGAUUUAAGUAUCAACAUCAAAAAGAAAACAUUCAACACCUGCGUUCUACCUUGCCUAACGUGUGGCUGUGAGACCUGGGCUCUUACCGAAAACCAUCGCGAGACACUUGCAAGG